ensembl:lncRNA
GCUGAACGCAUUGCUCUUAAUGUGCCGGUAAUGAUGGUAAAUGAUGGUUGUAGCUGGUUGUCAUCUACGGUCCACUACGGUUACAUAAAGGUUACCUGUUGGUGGGCCUGGUGGUGAUCAUUACCUUCAAGGAAACAGUGCUGCAGGUUCCCCGGGUCUCUGCGGUGAUGAGGCUCUUCUCUGGGCCGCAGUAUGCGGAGCUGGAGGGCGUCCACCUCAGUGAACUGACACUUACUGAGGAAAGCUGUGAGGAGGAGCCUCAGUACUCGCAGUCCAUCUGCACCGUCUCCUCCACUCAGCUGACGGGCCCCGCUGUCACGCAUGUAGCCCCCUGACCUUCAAAGCUGGACCCCAGACCCUCCAACGCCAGACAGCUUCUGACUUGUAACCGCU